rnacentral:rRNA from 1 species
UACGUAGGUGGCGAGCGUUGUCCGGAAUUACUGGGUGUAAAGGGCGUGUAGGCGGGAAGAUAAGUCAGAUGUGAAAUUCCGGGGCUCAACCCCGGCGCUGCAUCUGAAACUAUUUUUCUUGAGUGCUGGAGAGGAAAGCGGAAUUCCUAGUGUAGCGGUGAAAUGCGUAGAUAUUAGGAAGAACACCAGUGGCGAAGGCGGCUCUCUGGUCCGGUACUGACGCUGAGGUGCGAAAGCGUGGGGAGCAAACAGG